GACGAACGCUGGCGGCGUGCUUAACACAUGCAAGUCGAACGGUAAGGCCCUUCGGGGUACACGAGUGGCGAACGGGUGAGUAACACGUGGGUGAUCUGCCCUGCACUUCGGGAUAAGCCUGGGAAACUGGGUCUAAUACCGGAUAGGACCACUGCCUGCAUGGGUGGUGGUGGAAAGCUUUUGCGGUGUGGGAUGGGCCCGCGGCCUAUCAGCUUGUUGGUGGGGUGAUGGCCUACCAAGGCGACGACGGGUAGCCGGCCUGCGAGGGUGAGCGGCCACACUGGGACUGGGAUACGGCCCAGACUCCUACGGGAGGCAGCAGUGGGGAAUAUUGCACAAUGGGCGCAAGCCUGAUGCAGCGACGCCGCGUGAGGGAUGACGGCCUUCGGGUUGUAAACCUCUUUCAGCACCGACGAAGCGCAAGUGACGGUAGGUGCAGAAGAAGGACCGGCCAACUACGUGCCAGCCGCCGCAGUAA
rnacentral:rRNA from 1 species